GACGUAGGGUGCGAGCGUUGUCCGGAUUUAUUGGGCGUAAAGCGCACGUAGGCGGACUAUUAAGUCAGGGGUGAAAUCCCGGGGCUCAACCCCGGAACUGCCUUUGAUACUGGUAGUCUCGAGUCCGGAAGAGGUGAGUGGAAUUCCGAGUGUAGAGGUGAAAUUCGUAGAUAUUCGGAGGAACACCAGUGGCGAAGGCGGCUCACUGGUCCGGUACUGACGCUGAGGUGCGAAAGCGUGGGGAGCAAACAGG
rnacentral:rRNA from 1 species